GAGGUUAUAGCUCAGUGGUAGAGCGCAUGCUUAGCGUGUAUGAAGUCCUAGGUUCAAUCUCCAGUACCUCCG
rnacentral:tRNA from 1 species